AAGAAAAAACCCCCCAGAUUACUCUCUCUCUAUCCCGAUCUCUCACCUUCUCUCUCAGUCUCUCCCUUUGACUCCCAAACCCUCACCGCCGAUCCACCCCUCUCUACCACCAAUCCUCCUCACCAUGGCCGAAGCCGUCACUCUCUCUCACACCAAAUCCAUCCUUCCAGCUUCAACCAGCUCUUUCUUACUUGGAAAAGCCUCUGGAUUCUUCGAUUCUUUCAUGAACUCCAAAAUCUCACCCUCCAAAGCCAAAUCCCCCACUUCACACACCUCCUCACGAACCCAGUCAGCUUGUGAAACCCCAAAAAACCACCAACACAGCUCUUCUUCACCGCCACUUAACUCGAAGACACGAGCUGUGUCUGUACCUGUAUGGUUUUCCUUCUCUUCCUUCUUCUUCUUGAAUCGGUAACAAAGACAACGGAAGGCAAGGAAAGAGACUGGGGCCGAGAGUUUGGCGAGACUAGGAGGCGAGAGCAUGGUUCAGGCAUUUCGUUGAACACCUUGAGGGAAGCAAGUAAAAGGUUAAGGCAGAGAAAGUUGAGGGUGCAUCGGGUAGACUGAUCUAUUGGCUAUUCUGCUUGAAAAGCUUUAUGGUGGAAAGGUUUAUAUGGGGCUUCGAAUUCCAGAUGCUGACAUGGGUUCACGACAGAAUAUCGACAUGGUUCUUGUUAACAAAGGGGAGGCAGUGGUGAUAUCAGUUAAGAAUAUAUUAGGAUUUGCAUCGAUGAAUUCGGAUGGCAGCUGGGUUUGUGAAGGCGGCAGUAAGCACAAACGCAGAACGAUUUCCCGAUCCUAAUCAUCACCACCAACUAGAUCGAGAUUUUCAGCAUAUAAAAUUGAAUGGCGAACUUGGUAUUGUGGCGGCUCCAAUCCUUUUGGAGAGAAACAUGGGGUGCGGGUGCGGGUGUGGCCUCAACUAUGUCAGUCCUUGCUGCUUCAAUGGCCUUCACCUCUAAGUACCUAAGCAGCACUCCUAUUAGGUGAUCUCCAGCCAAUAAGUUCAUGUUCAUGGCGGAGCAACAGCAACUUGUUCAUGACUUCAGAAUUGUUUGCAUGGGAUUGGGCUCUCGUUUGAAUCCAAAGCUUAUUUUGCUAAGGAGUGGACCAGUACAUGCAUUACUCCCUCAGUACAUGAAGAUCAAGCACGUCAAUUAUCACAAAAAAGCAAUGGUGGCAAGAUGCACACAGAUCAUCAGUCCAAACACUGAAGAUGCCAAAUAUGUUAUAAAUUUUUGUUAUCCUGGAAAGUAUGCUGUUGCUCUGGGUGACACAGUUUCCCCAACUGACAUUGAAGAAGGCAUGCGUGUGGGGUGAGUUUCUUAUUUGUUACCUUCUCAGAUUUUACUAAAAUAUUUUGAAGGGUGAGCUACUAGAAAGUACUACUGUUGGAGAUAUGGCUCACAAACCUGCAUACUUUGUGCCUUGUAAGCUCUAAUUUUUAUGUCAACUUGGGGUGAGAAUCAUCUGCUCAGUAUAGUGAAAAAAAACUGAAUAAAGGUGGAUAGCAGCCUAGGUGUUGAUUCGUAGGAAGUCAAUUUGAGGAUUUUGAAAGGACAGUACCAUACUUAAAACUUUUCUAUUUCAAAAUGCUAUUGAUGAAUUGGAUGUCAAUUGUAGGAAGACAUUAAAUAUUGAAAGGACAGUACCAUUCUUUUAUAUAAUAAUUGAACAAACUAUUUUCAGCUUGUA